UGGGGAAUAUUGCACAAUGGGGGAAACCCUGAUGCAGCGAUGCCGCGUGGAGGAAGAAGGUUUUCGGAUUGUAAACUCCUGUCUUAAAGGACGAUAAUGACGGUACUUUAGGAGGAAGCUCCGGCUAACUACGUGCCAGCAGCCGCGGUAAUACGUAGGGAGCGAGCGUUGUCCGGAAUUACUGGGUGUAAAGGGAGCGUAGGCGGGAUUGCAAGUCAGAUGUGAAAUACGUGGGCUUAACCUACGGGCUGCAUUUGAAACUGUAGUUCUUGAGUGAAGUAGAGGCAAGCGGAAUUCCUGGUGUAGCGGUGAAAUGCGUAGAUAUCAGGAGGAACACCGGUGGCGAAGGCGGCUUGCUGGGCUUUUACUGACGCUGAGGCUCGAAAGCGUGGGGAGCAAACAGG
rnacentral:rRNA from 1 species